CACGAAAGCACUGUCCCAAACAGCCUCUGGGACCUCUUCUCAAUACGGGGACUGUGGGGCUGAUCUCUUUGCUCGGAAAUAUUUUGUGUCAAGACGGAGCAAAACAAGCAGAAGAUGGACGUAGGACUGCCUCAGAAAUCUCCUGUGCUCACAGAAAUCUGAAGAGAUUGCAGAGAUAUAAGAUCACAAUUGGCAAGACUCACUGGGAAGUUCACUGUUACCACAUGGAAAAUUAGACAUUAGAACCACAG